rnacentral:lncRNA from 1 species
CGAAAAAUAAAUAAAAUCUAACUAAAAAUUAUUUCAAUGAGUAUUUUUACUUGAAUUCUCUAAAAAAUUACUCUGUUACAAAAACUUAUUAACCAUUUACUAAAUUCUUAAAAUAAAAUAAUUGCAUAUGUAAGUUUUUUUAGCAAUAUACACUUUAUGAAAGAUAUUUAGUAUAAAAAAGGUAUCCACAUAUAUCACACAUAUAUAUUCAUUUGAUUUGAAAGCUGAACAAUAAUCAAAUAUAUAAAGAGUACUCUUUUAAAAAAGAUAUAAUUUAAUGUUAUAAACAUAUAGAGUUUCUCUUUUAAAAAUAGGAUAUCAUACCAACUGAUGAUUGAAACUUUUGCUCAUACUCUCACGUGAUUUGGAUUCAAAAUUUUACUUAAAUCUAAUUUAAUUUUUUUUACUGAAAAUUUUCUCUUAUCAUAUAGGAGAAUUUGUCCCCUCUAAUAUAAAUAUUUUUUAUAGCUAUUAUGUUGAAAAUUCACAAAAUAUUAAUUAAUUAAUUACAAUUUUUUUAAGGUUUAUCAAAAUUGAUUAAUUACAAUGAUUUGACAAUCACAAAAUUCAUCAAUAGUUGUGCAUAGUUUGAGAAUCUAUCAUGAAAAUAUAGAAAAUAAAUUGCUUUUAUUUGGUUAAACAAGUGACUUUAUAUGGUUGUCUAUAAUGUGUCACAAUAUAAAAUAUAAAUUAUGUUAGCCUCUUUUGCCGCCUCAUAUAUUCAUCCAUCCAACCUUGUGAAUCACGUUAGCAACACUUUUAAUUUCUCUCUCAUUCUUUGGAUCUAGGGGACAAAUAGCUGGCUCAGCUAACAUAGACAUGCUGUAUUCACAUGCUAAUCGUUGGAUGAAAAUCACUCCCAUUACAAAAAUUAAAUUAUAAGAUACCCUCUUUCUACUAUGCUCACUGGAUUCGUUUAAUCCAAUCUGUACUAAAGUAUUUUAUUAUAUGGGUUUUAUAUCAACGAAGAUCUAGAAAUAUAUCAUUUAAAUGUUGGCACUAUGAUUCUUAUAGCAUGGUUGAAAUAUUGCUUCCAAUUGUGCAAUCAUCGAGAAAGCUUUCCUUUUGGAACAUGCUUCCUCACUCUCACACACAACAAAACAAACUUUUCUUUACAACUAAUUAAUUAAUCUGUAUUUUCCUAUCUUCACACUUUGCUUUUGUCUCUCCUUCUAAUCACCCAAUAUAUGAUUGAUAACAUUUACACAUUUAUUAAAGAGCACACUUUUAAUAGUUCAAACUAGAAAGUUCAGCACAUUACUCCCAUUGAAAAACUACUUGUAUUAUUAGUGGGUAGAAAGUUAUAAAAAGUAUAUAAACACAAGCAUCAAAAUCCACAAUUGACGAGACCAAUAUGUAGUUUGUGGUAUUGUUCUUUGCUUCUUUGCCCCCAAAAUAAAAAGCUUCGUAGAUAAAAACUUUAAUUUAAUUUUAUAUGAUCCGAAUCUUGACCGUAUAGCGUAUCUAAUCAGAUAAAUUUACCGUAUGAUAAUUAUUUUCCGCCAUUCAGCUCUUAAUUACAGCUAGCCUAACAAAUUGACUAAAUCAUAAAAAGUUUGAAUAUAUUAACGAUUGUCGAUUGAUACCUUUCUUCAACUUACAGCUACCGCGUCAGGAAAAAAGUUACAUAACCAACUUCUCUUUUUGGGAGCUAACGAUCUUAUUUUCCUUAACUUAUAUUUUAUUCCAUACAAAAAUAUAUUACUAUUAAACAAUUUAGGAUGACAUAUUCAUUUGAAGAGUGUCGUCUUUUAUUUUAAAAUCGUUAGGUUAUUUUAAUUUGUCAGUUUGCUAGUUAAUUUUUAUUUCAUUAGCCCAAAUCUCCCACAAUUAUGACAUAUAAUUUUUUUUGGUGACGAAGGCAUUACCUAUUGAAGGUUUUUGUUUUGACGACAUUGCCUAUUGAAUGUCACUAGACUAAUUAAUUCCUCAAAAUAUUAAAGACCCACAUAUGAUAGAUCGUUUUGAAGAAUGAUUUGAUAAUUAUAAAAAAAUGUGGAUAUGAGUAACUCAUAUGAUAUUUAAAUUACUUAAAAAAUAAUUGAUUCAUACCAAAAGCUAAAAAAUAAAAAUAAUUGAUUAAAUAUAUUAAAAAAAAAAAAAACAAUGAAGCUUCAAAUUAUUUGAGGGCUCUAGGAAGUUUGGCAUUGAAAGGCCUGUCAGAGUUAGGACAACACUUUCGAAUUUGACACACGGAAAACUCUCGACAAAUGUUGAGAGAUAUUAUAAAUAUAUGGCCUACAACGACUAUUGUCAGCAUUGCCUCUCUGCAUCUAAUAAAUUUAUGUACGUUGUGAACAAUUGUGAAGAUGUUCAAGUACUUUGGAAUAAAUUUAUUAAAUCUAAAAUUUAGAGUGAGUUAUUUAACCUUGAUACUUAUGUUUGACUUGAAUGGAAUCUUACUCAUAACGAUAUUGAAAACAUUCCUUGAACAUGAAAAAGUUCUUUGAUGUGGUAGUUAAUGAACUUUGUCAAGAUCAAAACUCUUUGAUCAAGAACAAUGUUCUAAAGCCAAACUUGAUUUACCUUAAUCAAAAAACAUGAAUUAAACCCCGUGUGAGAUUAUGAAGAUGAAUAUUGAUGAUACUCACAGUCAUAUGGAUGGUUCAUUAGCUUGUGGGGGAAUCCUUACGUCCAUAAUGAUGAAUUUAUAUGUGACUUUUACUGCAAAGUGACAUCCAAUAGUUCAUUAUUUUCUAA